rnacentral:rRNA from 1 species
UACGUAGGGGUGCGAGCGUUGUCCGGAAUUACUGGGCGUAAAGAGCUCGUAGGUGGUUGUCGCGUUGUUCGUGAAAACCGGGGGCUUAACCCUCGGCGUGCGGGCGAUACGGGCAGACUUGAGUACUGCAGGGGGAGACUGGAAUUCCUGGUGUAGCGGUGGAAUGCGCAGAUAUCAGGGAGGAACACCGGUGGCGGAAGGCGGUCCCC